UACGUAGGGGGCGAGCGUUGUCCGGAUUCAUUGGGCGUAAAGCGCGCGCAGGCGGUCUUCCAAGUCAGUGGUGAAAGCCCGGAGCUCAACUCCGGAACUGCCAUUGAAACUGUAAGACUUGAGGACGAGAGAGGUGAGUGGAAUUCCCAGUGUAGAGGUGAAAUUCGUAGAUAUUGGGAAGAACACCAGUGGCGAAGGCGGCUCACUGGCCCGAUACUGACGCUGAGGCACGAAAGCGUGGGGAGCAAACAGG
rnacentral:rRNA from 1 species